CAGCCGCCACGGUAAUACAGAGGGUGCAAGCGUUAAUCGGAAUUACUGGGCGUAAAGCGCGCGUAGGUGGUUUGUUAAGUUGGAUGUGAAAUCCCCGGGCUCAACCUGGGAACUGCAUCCAAAACUGGCAAGCUAGAGUAUGGUAGAGGGUGGUGGAAUUUCCUGUGUAGCGGUGAAAUGCGUAGAUAUAGGAAGGAACACCAGUGGCGAAGGCGACCACCUGGACUGAUACUGACACUGAGGUGCGAAAGCGUGGGGAGCAAACAGGAUUAGAUACCCCAGUAGUCCCUGUCUCUUAUAC
rnacentral:rRNA from 1 species